rnacentral:lncRNA from 1 species
GGUGAAUAAUGGAUCGGUCUGGUAAAAUUUUGUUAAAUUCCGGUCCGAAUGUCCGGUGUUUUUUUUUCAUGGAUUUUUCUAACAUUCUAGCAAAAAUUGCCAAACGAUUCAAAUUCAUUUUCAUCUUUAUUAUUCAUCACAGCGAUGUUUAUUUUGUUCAACCGCUAGCUUUAUGCCAAACAUCGCCAACCAGUAAUGUGUAAAUCCGGGUAAAAACAUAUUUGACUGUUAAAAACAACAAUGGAUGCCAUCAUUGGCACAACCGGAAAUGUAAAUAAAACCGGAUCAGAUUCUGGGAACGGAUAAGGAUAAUUCCGGGUUUGCCGAUUAAAUACAAUAAAUGAAUAAAAAUCCAAGCAGAUCACAAAAUUUAGCUAUGAAAUAUAAACACUAGAAUUGAAAACCAAAAGAUAUAUGAAAAAGAAAGAAGAAACAGGAAAUAAUAUUUUAUACAGAAACUCUAAAUUAUGUUUAGUUCACAAACAUUGUCAAAAUCCAAUAAAAUGGGACAUUACUCUUCACUGAAAUGCAUUCAAGCAAUUGUGCACAACUUUCAUAACAA